UAAGGUGUUAUUUUAUCACUUGCAGCGGAGGUAGAAAUAGAAGCUUACCAUCUGGUGGCGUCUUCUCGAUUGGGCGACAGCUCUGUGCUGUUGUUAGACAGUAGAGGCUGCCCUACGGGACAGGUGGAUUUCCCAGCGUUCAGUCGCAGUUGGCGCGGCGGCACACAGCGACUGUCCGCUAACUUCAAGGCGUUCCGUUUCCCCAACUCACAUGUGGUGCGGUUCUCGCUCAUGGUGCGAUUCUGUCAGGACAAAUGUAAACCGGUAAUAUGCAGUUCGCAGCAAAUUAGAACAUCGCGGCAAACCGAUGUUUGGAAGAAUUGGUCUAACGACAGCGGAGUGCCGGCUGCGGUGCGACCUGUCGCGUGGGGCUCGGGGGCGGAGCGCGCGGGCGU